GCGAACCGGGGGAACUGAAACAUCUAAGUACCCCGAGGAAAAGAAAUCAACCGAGAUUCCCCCAGUAGCGGCGAGCGAACGGGGAGCAGCCCAGAGUCUGAAUCAGCAUGUGUGUUAGUGGAAGCGUCUGGAAAGUCGCACGAUACAGGGUGAAAGUCCCGUACACAAAAGUGCAUGUGUUGUGAACUCGAAGAGUAGGGCGGGACACGUGGUAUCCUGUCUGAAUAUGGGGGGACCAUCCUCCAAGGCUAAAUACUCCUGACUGACCGAUAGUGAACCAGUACCGUGAGGGAAAGGCGAAAAGAACCCCGGCGAGGGGAGUGAAAAAGAACCUGAAACCGUGUACGUACAAGCAGUGGGAGCACCCUUUGGGGUGUGACUGCGUACCUUUUGUAUAAUGGGUCAGCGACUUAUAUUCUGUAGCAAGGUUAACCGAAUAGGGGAGCCGAAGGGAAACCGAGUCUUAACUGGGCGUUAAGUUGCAGGGUAUAGACCCGAAACCCGGUGAUCUAGCCAUGGGCAGGUUGAAGGUUGGGUAACACUAACUGGAGGACCGAACCGACUAAUGUUGAAAAAUUAGCGGAUGACUUGUGGCUGGGGGUGAAAGGCCAAUCAAACCGGGAGAUAGCUGGUUCUCCCCGAAAGCUAUU
rnacentral:rRNA from 1 species